UGCUUUUAGCCCAGAGUUCAGGUUUACCAAGACUGCUCUGGAUCUUCAUUCUGUCUGCUAGCGUUUUUGUUAUCUCGCCAAGC